UAAGUCGACUAUUGUAAGUCGCUUUGGACAAAAGCGUCUGCUAAAUGUAAUGUA
rfam:Astyanax mexicanus chromosome 22, whole genome shotgun sequence.